AGACGCGGGGCGACCGGGACACAGAAAAGUGAGUAAGUAACAGAAUAGAUGGUCAACCCAUCUGGACAACGAAGGCCACGUUUACAGAGGUGUUUUUGCUGCGUCUAGUUCGUGUCUGUAUCAUCAAUAACACAUUCGUUUUCAUAAAUACAAAAUCUACGCUUAGAGAACCGACUUGUUACUGCUUCAUUGGCAGUCAUUGUUAAAGCUAACUCGGGUUUAGGCUUACAGGUGAAAUACACAUCAUCAUCACCAGAAUACUACGUUAUAAUAAUAAUAAUAAUACGUUAACAAGUAUGUUAUUUGUGAUUCUCUGACGGUCUGUAGCCCGAGAGACGCGCUACGUUUGCGCCACCGCGUCCGGACCGGGGACUUCAUCCUGGACCUGCAAACAUAAAACCAACCGCUUCAGCUUGAAUUCCCUAAACAGACAAGCGUUGACAGGAAUAGACCAAUGUAGUGAUGGAGGGAUGUGACUGUCACAUGUUUUCAGUAUAAUAUACACCGCCCUUCUAUUUCUAUCUCCACCCCUCCGUCAAGUGUCAAUUCUGCUCCACCGCAAUCAAUCAGUUAUUUGUCAGACGCUGUCAAUCCACCGCUUGAUUUAUGUCAGCUAUUGUGGCUGAUUACAUGCCACUGUGACUGCGGGGGGGAAGAACAAAUGGGUAGAGACAAUUCGGCAAGAAGACACCAAGUUUCCAGGGGAAAUAAAUCGAUCCUCGAGUUAACAUUUCAUUUUUAGACGCAUCGCCAAUCGCCGACCUCCCCCCCCCCAAAGUCCAAAAGCAGAGGAUUAAACUAGGUUUCCAUUCUUCUCUGCCCCCCCACAAAAGUCUAUAACUUUUUAGUUCAUCAUCAAACAACCCCGGAGGUGGCACACAUGGUGACAUGUUAACUCUCAGUGCAGCUCACUGUGUGCAGCUGGCAGGGCUUUAAGGUGUUAAAAUGCCUUUUUUUUUUUUUUUGCUGUAAUCGGCGUUAACAGAAAACGGGGAAACACAGUUAAACCGAAAAGCGUCCGAAACAAAUGAAAAAAAAAGAAACCCGUCAAAAAAGAACAGAUCACGUUAUUAAAUAAAAUAUAGUUGGAAUGAAUAAAUUAAUAUCCAUUAUUUAUGCUAUAUCAACUUUAGCCCUUUCAGACAGGUUUGCACAAACAAUCUGCGAGAAGAAGAAAAAAACAUUGAUUUGAAAAUUGAUAAUGUGUAAAACAUCACGGAACAGAACCCUGUCCAUUUUGGCUAAACACAUCUGCUAUUGUGUUUUUAGAACCUGUCAUCUGCCUCGGGCACACUGUCAUCUGCAACAAGAACAACAAAGACAGGGAACAAAAAAGAAGAAGAAAAUCCAGACAUUUUAUAUUGAUGUCAGCUCGAUUUUAUUUACAUACAAUGAAAAUGAUUUAUUUUUCUCAAAGAGAAGCGGACAGGGGAGAAAGAAAAGGGGAGAAAUGGUCUGUCAGGCCGCUGAGAAAAGAAGUUUAAAAUGCCUUGAACUAUUCACCGCUGAGAUGCCUAAUCAGUACUGAGGCUCCGGGGCAAUCGGGCAGCUUUUCAAUGCGGGUUUCCUUUCAUCUCAAUCGGGAUGGAGGCGCUCAAUUAAAAGCCUAUCAGUUUGUCAACUUGGAGAGCAUGAAAACCUGGAGUGGACAGUCGAAGGGGCUAAAUUAUAUUUCCUGGUGGAAAACAGACCAAACAAAACAAAAACAGCCGUGAUGGUUAAAAUUUAUUUGAGUUCAUAAUCUGCCAUGAAUACAAUGUAGAAUGAAAGUUGUGGUAAAUAAAUCAAAUACAGCAAAUUAUGUUUUUCCAUAAGAUAAAAAUAACAAUCUUUGGCAAAAAAUGUAGAAAUUAAACUGGCAAAAAAUAUUUUAGGUAAAAGUUGAAAAAAGCUUGGUUUCAGUUUACAGGCCUGCCUAUAGUCUGCAUGGGUGAGCACUACGUUGCAAACUAUGGACUGAUCAAUAAAAACAAGGAAUAAAUGAUUAAAUAAGUCAAUGUUGAGAUACUGCGUCAUAUAAAUGAACCGCAUUUAUUUUAAUGUGAGUUUAGAAGAGGGGGAACAACGUGUAAAGGAGUUGAGCUCUAUUCCCUCAAAUGUUUCCAUUGUUUUUGUCCUACAUGAGGGGGAGGGACGUUUCACAAUAUGCAAAGAUGUGUGAUUGAUAACAGGCUUGCUGUUUUCUGCAAGGACUGUCAGUCCGUGACACAAUAUGUGAGUUAUUAGGGCAAAGAAGGGCAACCAUAAAUUUUCCCUGUCAGGUGAAAACCCUCUUUAUUGUCCGCAUGACGAAUGGGCUUCUGCGCCAACAUUCUCGGCAUUCCCCUUAAAUGGGAACACAUUUUAGCGACUAUAAUUCCUGAUAUUUAAAUAGAAAGUUUUAAUAUCCGCAUAUAUUUUACAACACUGACAUGCUUAUGAAUCACUCUUUGCAUGCAAAUGAAAGAUUUACAUCUCGUGAAGGAGUGUGUUGGAUUUUAGGGUUUACUGUAAACUUGUUGCUAUGAAGCAACGUAUUUCAAUGUAAAUACACAUGAUACAAAUUAAAUGAUAAAAUUAACCCACUUUCCUAAGAGCACCUGCAUCUCACCUGAGCUAAAUGUAUCAUUUACAAAGUGGUCACAUUUUUAUUGGGCUUCGACUGUUGGAUCGCAUAACAUAAAGUUAUUCUUAUUCUAUUUAAGCUUUCGUUCAAUUAACAUUAAUUAUUUUGUGGCGAUCUUCCAGCCAUGAAACAAUUAAAAAAAAAAGACGCAGUAACGGAUGAAACGUGGCACAUAUGCACAGGAGAGUGUUACAACCUACAAGAAAGCACAUGCACGAAUUCCAAAAGAUUUCUCUAAAACUCCACGGAAAGAAGCACAGGUUUGCGGGGAAAGUCCCGUAACGUGACAUUACCUGGAAUCAUACUAAGCUCCGAUGUAAAGCGUCAGAGAGGACGAGGAUGGAAAAAAAA